UGCUGCAUGCAGACAGCUGACAGCUGAUGUGUGGAAAAUUGAAAGAAUUCGAAAAGUGAAAUCAAUAUUCAGCCUAAGUUAACAAUGUUUUUGAACCUGAAAGAUGAAAGAACUUGGUAUUAUGUUAACUAAAUGUUCUAAUGAAUAUUUACGAGUCCAUUUGUCAUCAUUUACCACGUAAUGACGACCAGUGUUGAAGCUGGCCAGGAAUUCUAAGCUGUCAACAAUCCUGAAGCCGUAGUGUGUCUAUACUAAAAGUGGAAUCAAAAAUUGUAAUUACAUAGCAAUCUUACAAAUUUUAUGUUCUUGUCUUUCAGAUGCAUGUUUUGUAAAUAGUGAAUCUCAAAUGAAUCCAAGAACUUUGAGUCGUCAUUACACUUUCUUUCCAAUUUUAAUAAUGGUGAUAUUGCAGACAUACCAUUUUGCAAGUACUUACCUGAGCAGCUGAGCUCUUCCUUUCUGUGGUUCCUUUCAAUUGAUUCAUUUGAGUUAAAUCCCUUGCCACUGUUCCAGACCUUACCCACUAGUGGAAUAUGCAGAGAGAUGUUCAACUUAUAACAGGUUAGCCCUUCGCCAUUGUGCUACAAUUUGAAGAAGUUGACGGUUACAGAAGAGCUGGCUUUCGAUCAAUAUCAAUAAAUUAUGUAGAUGUAGAUAAAU